rnacentral:rRNA from 1 species
UACGUAGGUGGCAAGCGUUGUCCGGAUUUACUGGGCGUAAAGCGCGCGCAGGCGGACUGGUCAGUCCGGGGUGAAAUCUCACGGCUCAACCGUGAGCGGUCCCCGGAUACUGCCAGUCUUGAGGUGUCUAGAGGAGAGCGGAAUUCCCGGUGUAGUGGUGGAAUGCGUAGAUAUCGGGAAGAACACCAGUGGCGAAGGCGGCUCGCUGGGCUCUACCUGACGCUGAGGCGCGAAAGCGUGGGGAGCGAACCGG